rnacentral:rRNA from 1 species
UACGUAGGUGGCAAGCGUUGUCCGGAUUUACUGGGCGUAAAGAGCGCGCAGGCGGUCGUUCAAGUCGCGUGUGAAAGCCCCCGGCUCAACUGGGGAGGGUCACGCGAUACUGAUCGACUCGAAGGCAGGAGAGGGUAGUGGAAUUCCCGGUGUAGUGGUGAAAUGCGUAGAUAUCUGGAGGAACACCGGUGGCGAAGGCGGCAUCCUGGACCGACAUUGACGCUGAGGCGCGAAAGCCAGGGGAGCAAACGGG